AUUGAACGCUAGCGGGAUGCUUUACACAUGCAAGUCGAACGGCAGCGCGGACUUCGGUCUGGCGGCGAGUGGCGAACGGGUGAGUAAUGUAUCGGAACGUGCCCAGUAGCGGGGGAUAACUACGCGAAAGCGUAGCUAAUACCGCAUACGCCCUACGGGGGAAAGCAGGGGAUCGUAAGGCCUUGCACUAUUGGAGCGGCCGAUAUCGGAUUAGCUAGUUGGUGAGGUAACGGCUCACCAAGGCGACGAUCCGUAGCUGGUUUGAGAGGACGACCAGCCACACUGGGACUGAGACACGGCCCAGACUCCUACGGGAGGCAGCAGUGGGGAAUUUUGGACAAUGGGGGCAACCCUGAUCCAGCCAUCCCGCGUGUGCGAUGAAGGCCUUCGGGUUGUAAAGCACUUUUGGCAGGAAAGAAACGUCGCGGGCUAAUACCCCGUGGAACUGACGGUACCUGCAGAAUAAGCACCGGCUAACUACGUG
rnacentral:rRNA from 1 species